rnacentral:piRNA from 1 species
UACAAAAAGAAAUAAAAGACCUGGACUGU